AGCCUGGGGGGAUGGUUGAGGUACUGUGAAAAUGCAUUAUUACUGCCCCAGGCAUCCAAUUACAUAUAUAAGUUGCAUGUUCUAAUUAAAUUUUCCUAAUGUAAUGUCGGCUUUGCCCGCUGCUAUUAAUUAUUGAAGCCACGUUCAGCUUAGGUGGAUUUUCCUCUCCCGCCUCACCUUCCAUUCACUCUUCACUCCUGGCUGCCCUUCGGCUGGCUGCAAACUCCCUGAGGAUGGGUCCUCUUUGAGCAAAGGCACCCACCGUGAGGCUCCCCUGUUGGACAGAGGAGGAGUCACCCAUAGGAGGAGAAGCAAGCAUCACCAGGCUGCUUCGUAACGAACACGUUAAGCACAAUGAUGGUAAUGGAAGGUACUCCAAAACAUCAGUGCACUUCCCUGCACUCUCUCCCAAGAGGCUUGUUUGCUCCCUUCUCACCAUCACCCACUCCCUGACCUAAAAAGGUGGUAACUACUCCCUCAGAAGGUUGAAGACUGUGGUCAGAUCCCAAGACGCAAGCAUGCAGGUGGAUCUGGCAGAGGGACGUUCCCAAGCCCCUGAAAUCAGACUUUAAAAUGUGCUGUGGAGGAAGGAAAGGUGGGGACCGGAGAAAGAACAUGGAACCAGGCCUGGAGCUUUUUCUGCUGGUGGCCAUCCUGGGAGCUGCCCCAAAGCAGCAAGCCUAGCCCUUCGCAAAGGCUCAUCCUGCAGCAAUGCACCUGCCAUGCCCCAGACUCUGCCAUGGCUCUCACCCACAACCAGCCCUCCUUUUGUGGUAAGCAUCCAAGAGCUGCAUAAGACCGAUAUGUUCCUGAGCCCUGGACCGUGCUUGAGGUGUGCCAACAAGCAUAGCUGGAAUGAAUUCCUAUUCACAACAUUAGGAAGAAAGACAUGCCACAUUCUUUAUUUUCUUUAAGCCAAAGUUCAUCUGCAAAUAACCGCCACUAUCCAAGAGACAGCAAAUUCAACUGCAUUCAUUAUUACUCCCCCGACCCCAUGGUAUCUUUAAGGGCCUGGACUCACACGUAGUGGACACCCCACAGAGAUGGGGCCACGAGGGCGGGACCUCAGCCCAAGUCUUCUACUCUACAUGCUGGUCCCCUGAGCUCAAGCUGUCACUCAGCUCCAGGGAAAGGGCUCAGGGCGCCCCUAGCUGCAGUCCAUUCUAGUACAGAGUGACCCACAGGACCCUCUCAGCUGCUCUCCAGGCCAUGGGAAAUAGUGCCUAACUGCCCAACCACCCACAGCAGCUUCUCAUCAGGCAUGCUGCAGCCUAGCCCCAUUCCUGUCCUCAGCAAGAGAGGACGCCCACUGCCAUGGUGUCUGCCAAUUCUUACUUUUGCAAAAGACAAGUCACUAAAACCUCCGUUUUCUAGACACAGAGGCUUAGACCUGCAAAAUGAAAGCUUGGCUGCCAUCCAUAUUGGGAGUGGAAGUAGGGAAACACCAACCAAGAGGUAAAGUCUUCUUCAGCAUACGACUGUAUCCAAACACCUCAUAUAGGGGCAUCUCACCUGCCACAUGCAGACACUUUUGCUCUCUGCCCCCAAAUGAAUCUGAAACACACUGGGAACAAGAGUGGCUCCAACAGCUGAUAUGCUUAGGGAGAAUUUUAAUCUUUUAUUCAUUCAACCAGAAAACAUCUUCAUGAGUGCCUGUGACAUGCUAGGCAUUGUGCAGGUACUGCGGACACACCCGUGGACAAGACAGACACAGUUCCUGUCCACGUGAUGCUAUGAGGAAACUGAGGCUUAGGUAAUCAAAGGGACCAAAGAAAAGUCACACAUCAAGUAGGGAACAGAACGGAGCUGAAACAACACAACCUCUGACCCACCUCCUUCCACCGGUGUCCCAGGACAGCGGCCUCUCACCUCCAGGUGCACACCUUGCCCAUUCCUACUUUGGAGGCUGCAUCACCUGGAUCCUCUCAGUGAAGGGCUCUCUGCAGCAAGCUGUCAGGGAAGGAGCUUGAGUCCACAAGUGAAAACUGUGGGCACCUCCACCAGCAAUAACACCAGCUCAAGUUCAAGACCAGGACUGUUCCCAAAGGGCUGUCUUUUACUUUAUUUUUAUAACCUCAGAUGAAUUCUCUAGGUCUUUGGGGGCUUUUAUUUGGUCAGGGAAGAAAAUCAAGCAAGAUUGAUUUUUCCCUUAACCUCAGUACCAGAAAACUGUAACGAGCUUGGCCCUUGGGUCAGACAGACUUGGGUUCCAAUUCCUGCUCUUUCCGUUGCACCCUGGGGGACCCAGGGCAACUGUUUAACCCCUGAGGUUGAGGUUGGGUCUGUCUGCAGUGAAAUGGAGAUGAAGCAUAUUGAAGACCCAGGUGAGACUCCCUGUGUGCUGUACCCCUAUCCACAGAAGCCAGCACACACGAUACUCACCUGGGGGACAGAGGAGGGCUGAGUUACAUCAAAUCCUUUCUGUGCACCGUGAGCCACAUGGUCUCCUUCCCACUCCCACACCUUCGCUCAAGCCUAGACCCAGGGGCAUUGUACAGCUGGGGUCUCUGCCCUUCCGCCCCUUCCCUCUCUCCGGUUCCCAUUGUGCUAUGAUGGCUCUGAAGUGUCAAGAAAGUCUAUUUUUUUCAAUCGAAAAAGGAGAAUUCUUACAUCUUAAGUCUGGGUGCUGCCUUGAAAGGUCACCCAGUACAUACCCUUGACUUUAGAUGGGGUCAUUUUUAACUAAGCCAGACAAAGAGGAGCUUUUUCCCCAUAUUUGCUUAAAAAGGACACUCCUUUCCCUUUUUGUGGUUGGGAAGAAGCUAAUUUUAACACAUCAGAAGAGAUAUUUAAAGGGCCGAGUAAUAUGCAGUCAAAUGUGCCAAUUAUACCUUUGAGCCAUUUGGGUGACCGCAUAAUGAGUGGGCCGUUUUUAUAGGCGGCCGUCUGGGUCAAGGCCUCAUAGGGGCUGUAAGGUCAACCUUUCUUGUUCUUGGUUUUGUAAAUCGAACAGGGAUAGCCUAGACAUGCAGAUAAAGACCUAAAGUCAUGAUGAGCAAAUUGGGACAGAUUAGUUCACUUGAUCUAUAAGUGAUCAUUCUGGAAAAAAUCAGAGCAUGAUAGCUUCCUAAUCAAAAGCCCUCACCUGCUCAGCCUCCUGAAUGGAGGACUGCCAGUCCCUGCAGCUGACAGCCUAGGCUUUGACAUAUUUUUUGUCUUAUCAUUUGAAUACCUCAAGAAAG
rnacentral:lncRNA from 1 species